GACGAACGCUGGCGGCGUGCCUAAUACAUGCAAGUAGAACGCUGAAGCUUGGUGCUUGCACCGAGCGGAUGAGUUGCGAACGGGUGAGUAACGCGUAGGUAACCUGCCUGGUAGCGGGGGAUAACUAUUGGAAACGAUAGCUAAUACCGCAUAAAAUGGAUUAUCGCAUGAUAAUCGAUUGAAAGGUGCAAAUGCAUCACUACCAGAUGGACCUGCGUUGUAUUAGCUAGUUGGUGGGGUAACGGCUCACCAAGGCGACGAUACAUAGCCGACCUGAGAGGGUGAUCGGCCACACUGGGACUGAGACACGGCCCAGACUCUUACGGGAGGCAGCAGUAGGGAAUCUUCGGCAAUGGACGGAAGUCUGACCGAGCAACGCCGCGUGAGUGAAGAAGGUUUUCGGAUCGUAAAGCUCUGUUGUAAGAGAAGAACGAGUGUGAGAGUGGAAAGUUCACACUGUGACGGUAUCUUACCAGAAAGGGACGGCUAACUACGUGCCAGCAGCCGCGGUAAUACGUAGGUCCCGAGCGUUGUCCGGAUUUAUUGGGCGUAAAGCGAGCGCAGGCGGUUAGAUAAGUCUGAAGUUAAAGGCUGUGGCUUAACCAUAGUACGCUUUGGAAACUGUUUAACUUGAGUGCAAGAGGGGAGAGUGGAAUUCCAUGUGUAGCGGUGAAAUGCGUAGAUAUAUGGAGGAACACCGGUGGCGAAAGCGGCUCUCUGGCUUGUAACUGACGCUGAGGCUCGAAAGCGUGGGGAGCAAACAGG
rnacentral:rRNA from 1 species